AAUUUUGGAUAGUAAGAGUAAUAACAUUUCCAUCAAAACUUUCAGAUGUUGUAGUAAUAGGAUUGGUAUCUAAAGAAUAGAUUUGGGUUAAAAAAUGCUCAUUUUUAGGGGAAGAUUUGUGUAAGUGCUAGUUGUACAUUGCUUGAGAAUGUAGAAAGUUUGACGAGGUUAGAAGAGUUAUGGUAGUCCUUAGAAUGUAGACAGAUUGACGAGGUUAGAAGAGUUAUGGUAGUGCCUAGAAUGUAGACAGUUUGACGAGGUUAGAAGAGUUAUGGUAGUGCCUAGUAUGAUAUUGGCUUUUAAGGAGGCUGGUAUUCGUUAGACGCUGAAGAUGAAGAUUACAUAUUUUCGGGGUGGCUGGUAGUGGAGCAUAAGUAAUUUACUUAAUACAAUGACAUGAAGAGUAUUACAACAGAAUUUCUACACUGUUAGCUUAUUGUGUUAACCUCAACGGAUGUUUAUAUCUAACAGAGGUGACAAAGCUUUUGUAAUUGAUGUCUAAAAUUUUGCUUUCUCACGUUGAUAUUUUCCUUGAAUGUUCUUCAAAAUUAUUAAAAAAAAAAUAAGAGCAAUGUUUUUUGUGUAGGACUAAACCUCUAAAUCUUCUUAUCUGUACACUAUUGAUCACAGGAAAGAAUUUUCCCUUCAGGAGCUGAACUAAUUUGGUAAUGACAACAACCAUGUAGUAUCAGAGUAUCUUCCAGAACACAACUGAAGGAGCUGCAGCCAAAACUGUAUAUGGUACUGAUAAAAAAUGUCUGAAAGCACAAAAUAUAGAAUUAUCUCAAAACAGGAUCAAGUAAGAUUAUCUUUACAUUACAAAAAAUUCAAAGUAUGAUGUCUCAUAUAUUUAGUUUGUGAAUGCGAUAUGACUAACUGAGAUGGUUUAUAACUCAAAACUCUGAACUUCAGUAUUAAUUUUGGACAAGGGCUAUGCAGUAAUCAAAUUCUCUAAAUUUGGCUUUUUACAUGCAGCAUCGAUAUCUUUCCUUGGAAGAGUAUGUCAGAUUUUGCUAAGAUAAUUAGACACCUUUACAAGUUAACGAAGCAUGUAGUUGGUUUUACCCUUAUAGUAGGAAUUGUAUACCCUGCUAUACUGCCCAAGUGCCAAUCGAUGCAUAACAACAGACUCUAUCAAGAAUUGUGUUGAUAACUCUUGAUUUUGUCUUAACUCUCUAUAGUAGAUCAGGACUUGAUGUGUAAGAUCUGUAGUGCUUUGUUGUCUUAAUUCUCCAAAGUAGAUCAGGACUUGAUGUGUAAGAUCUGUAGUGCUUUGUACCAUUUUUUUUUACUAAAAACCCAAUGCCUUCAGUAAUGUUACAGAUUGGUCCAAUUAUUAGUAAGUUUUUGCUGAGAAGCCAUGAAAUAGUUGUCGCCUGUUUGCUAUGUAUGUGACUCCUAUAUAGUUUAAUUAUUUAUGAUCCACCUGUUCUAGUUACUUUGAAUCUUGUAUUAACGAUUCUCGUGUUCUCCCUGAUGUGACUCAAUUUGAUAUAGAUUGAUGUGACUGAACAGUACGUAGGUUCAGCUUGUACACUGCAACAGGUCUGAAUCCUGUAUCUCUGAUUACCACAUAAUUGAAAGGUUCUUUUACUUGAUGGAAACAGCUUCUUUUCUCAACAACAAUGGGUUAACCUCUUAUUGGCAUUGCUGAAAUAUGUAUCAACAUUAAAUUGGCCAUGUAGAUAGCGUUUUAACUGGUACGGAGUAUUUACUAUUAUUAGUAAACUGCUACGAAGUAUUUACUAUUAUUAGUAAAUUAGUACUCUGUAUCAUAUAUAUAGGAAUCAAGGAUUCAGUAUCAGAAAAAUCUUGUUCGCUUCAGCAGGUGGUGGAUUAGAUAGCGUGCAAGUAAAAGGACAUAUAUCUGUGUAAGUAAUAGAAUAAACUUCUCUCUGUUCUGCUUCUUAAAGGUUGAAUUGAUCCUAGAUUAUAAUCAACGAUUAUGGCUUACUGAGUUACAUGCUCGACUAUUGUCGGUGACAAAUUAAUUGUUCUCAAGUUUAGGACUUAUCGAACUUGGCAAGCCAACAACAAAGGUUUUUUCAAGUAUCUAAGAUGGAAAUAAAUUAUAGUAAGAUUUAAUUAGUUUGAUCAUUAUUUUUAUCGUAAUUUUAUUCAUAUAUGUGUUAAUCUUUAAUUUAAUGUGUAUUAUGUUAGUGUCUUAGUGUUCUCGCCAACCGAAAAUGCUUGAAUGUGGCUAUUACGUCAUGAAGUACAUGUAUCAAAUAGUUUUACUUGAAUUACAAAGUAUUGGUAAUCUGGAAGAGAUAUUUUCUACAAACUCGUACACUCAAGAGGAGAUUGAUGAUGUUCGAGAAAAAUGGAGCAGAUAUUUUUUAGUAGUUGUUUGCAGUCAUUGUCUCGUUUCAGAGAUAGAAAACUAUAACAAAUUGUAGGUUAAUUUUUUGGAAUACAUUAUUUAUACUUGUUAAACCAACUUUCUUGUUUGAAUCAAUGAAAAUUCUUUUCGCAA